rnacentral:tRNA from 1 species
RYUAAUGUAGCUUAAUAAUAAAGCAAAGCACUGAAAAUGCUUAGAUGGAUUUCCUAUCCCAUAAACA